GAUGAACGCUGGCGGCGUGCCUAAUACAUGCAAGCCGAGCGAACGGACGAGAAGCUUGCUUCUCUGAUGUUAGCGGCGGACGGGUGAGUAACACGUGGACAACCUACCUAUAAGACUGGGAUAACUUCGGGAAACCGUAGCUAAUACCGGAUAAUAUUUUGAACCGCAUGGUUCAAAAGUGAAAGACGGUCUUGCUGUCACUUAUAGAUGGAUCCGCGCUGCAUUAGCUAGUUGGUAAGGUAACGGCUUACCAAGGCAACGAUGCAUAGCCGACCUGAGAGGGUGAUCGGCCACACUGGAACUGAGACACGGUCCAGACUCCUACGGGAGGCAGCAGUAGGGAAUCUUCCGCAAUGGGCGAAAGCCUGACGGAGCAACGCCGCGUGAGUGAUGAAGGUCUUCGGAUCGUAAAACUCUGUUAUUAGGGAAGAACAUAUGUGUAAGUAACUGUGCACAUCUUGACGGUACCUAAUCAGAAAGCCACGGCUAACUACGUG
rnacentral:rRNA from 1 species